UAAACUCGCAAUAUAGUAACAAUUCCGACUUUUUUUCUCGCAAUUGCGAGUUUAUAUCUCAGAAUUGUGACUUUAUAACUCGCAAUUGUGAGAAAAAAAAGUCAGAAUUGCAAGAUAAAAAGUCACAAUGUUGAGAUAAAAAGUCGCAAUUACGGUUUUUAAUUUUUUAUUUAAUGGUGGAAACGGGCUUCCAUAAUAGGCCUAAUUCAUUCAGAAUUUGAAGAUCACAUUUGUUUUGCAUUUAUAUUGGGAUGUGUAGGCUAUAGGUUGCUGAUAGGCGACACGUAACUAUUUCAUGACAUAGACUCUAUGUUUUCAUGGAGGAAUCGCAUCUAGCCUUACCCUAGAGUUGGUUCACCCUCCGCCUAUGCUAUGUUAUAUAUUGGUUUAUAUGAUUUAUGAUUUUCAAUUUCACAUUUUACCUAUGCAACGUGGUGGUAAUUGUCUUACUGUGGUGGUCCACCAGUUGAAGGGACAUAGAAGAAAAACUGUAGUAUUGGCUGUCUCGAUGAGCGUGUGCCAGUUAACCUUAAUAUUUGCGUGUGGACCAUGUAUGGCACUAAAUACAUUUUUUCAAGAAAGCAUAAUGAUUAAGGUGGGGGGCCUCACACAAAGAGCAGCCUAGGGGCCCCUGACCACCUUAAUCCGCCCCUGUCUAUCUGUAUUGUAAUAGGAUGUCAAGAUGCUAGUCCGUGCUAACUAGUUGAAGUAUUCUCUCUGUAACAGUAAACACACAUUGUAAUGUCAAACAAUGAUAUAGCCAUUUUUUACUUUGUCAAUAGUUAUGACGAAAAACUCUGUACACAUCUGGCCUAAAUGUUUAUCUUUCAGCUUCACUUGGCAUUCUGAUACAGUUCCCAAAGGUGCACCUACAUAAAGUAUAACUGUGACGCUGCUAUUAAAUAAUGCAAACUAAGGUGACACUUACUAUAGAGAAACGUCGUACUCCAGUCGUGAUUGCGAAUCAGUUUCUGGUUGAUCGACUACUUCAGAUGUUUCAUCGUCGGACUCAGGCUCAAAUUGAUACGGUAAAAUCGAUGCUAUCUUUUCUGUCCAUACAUUGUAUACAAUGUCUUGCGAACUGAUAGCUGUCAUUCAGUUAUGGCAAUGGGCGCACGCUGCACGCAGUAGACCAAUCAUAAUGGAUUGGGCCAUCUGAAUCAGAGAGGUGUAGGCUCACGGAAAGGAGGGGUUUAGAGAGACUGAUGGGUGCGUGUAUAUAUAUAUAUAUAUAUAUAUAUAUAUAUAUAUAUAUAUAUAUAUAAAUUCAGUUUUUAAAUUCAAAUCAAAAGAAGAGAAAGAAGAAGAUGUUUGUGCGGUUUGGAGCGGACGCGAGCAAAACGGAUUAUUUUCCAAGAGAUAUGUAUGGGGUCAUUUCGACAAAACAGUUCUGGUAAGCAUCGACGCACAUUUACAUUUGUAGUAUUUUUACUUAGCAGACGCUUAUAAAGGAACUUCCUAAAAGUUAACUUCACGUGACUGCCGCGAACGCAGCUUUCUUGGCUUGCCUGAAAACUUUCGGUAUGCCACCUAUACAGCUAAUAAACUGACAAUUUUUUUUUUUUUUUUUUUUUUUUUUUUUUUUGUAUCUUUGAUCUAAGUGUAACGGUGUGUAAAAGUGUUAAAUUGAUGUAAAAAUGGGGACAGCGCCAUCUGUCUGCUGCGUGAUGGCAUAUAGCACGUGAAAUGGGACCGCCCAAAGCAGAGAUAAUGAUACAUGCUGUGGGUAAGUCGUACGUUUUCAGCAGCCGGAGAAUUAUAGUUAAAAUGAUUAAAAACACAUAACUAACUGCUUUAUUGCUGAUUUAUCCUGCAAUGAACUUCUUGUAGAACUGUUGAUAUGUUGGCGUCGAAUGUGGCGUUUUAUGUUGAGUUAUUUUUAGUUUGUAUUAUGAGGCCUAGUCGUAAUUCAUUUGUGCAUUGUCUUUGUUUUAUGUAGAAGUGAUUUUAAUUCUCCGUGCAGUUUCCCUUAUUUCUACGUGUUCUCCAUUGUGCAGCAGAAAGACCACCCAGGCAAGACCGUCACAUAAGCAUUGUUAUGUGGAUCUCAAUUGUUUACGCUGUACUAAACUUUGACGAGCAACACUCCGAUCUGCAAACAAAGCUGAGGAAGAGGAUGAUGACGGUCCUGCAUACACAAGGAGAAAGAGCAGGUUUGGUUUUAGUUUCCACGCUCAUAUUUUUAUAAAUGCAAUUGUAAUAAGCAAAAGUUGUUUUAUUCCAUGUUUCUUCAGUGAAGAGGAUUUGUUUAUACUGUCAUAAAAUAUCAUUGUUUUCAAAUAACCUCAAUUAACUAAAUACAUAAGCUAGUUUAACUUUUUUUUUUUUUUUUUUUUUUUUUUUUUUUUAAAUGAUGGAAAUGUACUGCAAUCCAUGCAUUAGUAUGUCUGAGAUCAUCUUCAGUUGAUAAAUGUAAGCAGAUUUUACAUUUACAGAUGCUCAUGACUGCUAAAACAUGGACAACACAAACACACAAUCACAGCUUUCUUAAUAGAUACUUGUAUACUAUUUGCUCUUUACAAGUGGAAUGUAAACCUGAGUAAACGUCGCUACUUUAAUGAUUAUUUCUAAGUUUUCUGAGCGAUGUAAACUGCUGUCAUCCACAUCACAUCAUUGCCCUAACUGACGUUACCAGAAGAAUCCUUUCAGGGUGGCAGAUAUUCACAAGCGUCUGGAGCAAACUUAUACUGAACUGGAUGCUUACUGAAGAGUGAGCUUCAACACUUAAGGUUUGUACAAAGUUACACCAUAUCACUGAAAACGGCACGCAUCAACAAGAUUCCAGAGACUUUGCGUGACAUUUUAAAUGUUUAUGAUCUUCAGGGUGUGCAUGAUGUCAACAUGAAAGGCACUGUAGCCCUCCGUGCUUCUCAGUGUACCUGUGUGAAGAGGACCCACAAUUCUUCAAGACUUGAAAUGAGGCGUUGGGAGAGCCAGACAUCACUCAUUUUGUCAUUGUGAUCAACGAAUGAACAAGUCCUUCAAGCACUGCAGUUGUUAUAGAAGAUGAUCUUCAGUUUUAGCAUGUUCAGAAGCAUUUGUUCACAUAGUCACAGGGUUUUAAAAAUAAAAGACUAAUCUUCAAAAAAAAAUCUUCAAUUGUACAGCUGAAGGUUUAUUUUAUUUUAUUUUAUUUAUUUUUUAUUUUUAGGUUUUGUUGUUGUUGUUGUUUUUGUUUUUUGAGUUAGUAUUUUUAUGUAAUGAAGUACUGCAGAGGUGCCCGAUCCUGUUCCUGGAGAUCUACCUGCCUGCAGAAUUCAGCUAAGUUAUUGAGCUAAUUAUUUUGCUAAGUACAAAAUGUGUUUAACAGCAAAACUUUUUUCCAUUUACCAAUGUGUUUAAAACAUUUAUUUUUAAGUUUGUCUAUACUUAUUAAAUUUUACAGUCUGUGUAUAAGUAAAUACUGGUGUAUAAUUUUUCAAAAUGUGGUAAAUAUUUUAUUUACAAUAAUUGUAUAACAACUGCUGUUAUUUGAUGUAAUAUAGUUUUGUAAUUGUUUUGUAAAUAAAAUGUUUUAUUUUAUUAGAGGUGUCGCUGCAAGGCA